GAUGAACGCUGGCGGCGUGCCUAACACAUGCAAGUCGAGCGAUUCUCUUCGGAGAAGAGCGGCGGACGGGUGAGUAACGCGUGGGUAACCUGCCCUGUACACACGGAUAACAUACCGAAAGGUAUGCUAAUACGAGAUAAUAUACUUUUAUCGCAUGGUAGAAGUAUCAAAGCUUUUGCGGUACAGGAUGGACCCGCGUCUGAUUAGCUAGUUGGUAAGGUAACGGCUUACCAAGGCGACGAUCAGUAGCCGACCUGAGAGGGUGAUCGGCCACAUUGGAACUGAGACACGGUCCAAACUCCUACGGGAGGCAGCAGUGGGGAAUAUUGCACAAUGGGCGAAAGCCUGAUGCAGCAACGCCGCGUGAGCGAUGAAGGC
rnacentral:rRNA from 1 species